rnacentral:rRNA from 1 species
UACGGAGGGUGCAAGCGUUAUCCGGAAUCACUGGGUUUAAAGGGUGCGUAGGCGGCGCAAUAAGUCAGAGGUGAAAGCCUGCAGCUCAACUGUAGAAUUGCCUUUGAUACUGCUGCGCUUGAAUCAGGUUGAGGUUGGCGGAAUGUGGCAUGUAGCGGUGAAAUGCAUAGAUAUGCCAUAGAACACCAAUUGCGAAGGCAGCUGACUGGGCCUGAAUUGACGCUGAGGCGCGACAGCGUGGGGAGCUAACAGG